GACGAACGCUGGCGGCGUGCCUAAUACAUGCAAGUCGAACGCAUUGGGGACGGGUGAGUAACACGUGGGUAACCUCCCAUCAGAGGGGAUAACACUUGGAAACAGGUGCAAAACCGAUACUGAUGGAUGGACGCUGGGUUCAUUAGCUAGUUGGUGAGGUAACGGCUAACCAAGGCCACGAUGCAUAGCCGACCUGAGAGGGUGAUCGGCCAAACGGGAACUGAGACACGGCCCAGACUCCUACGGGAGGCAGCAGUAGGGAAUCUUGGGCAAGGGACGAAAGUCUGACCGAGCAACGCCGCGUGAGUGAAGAAGGUUUUCGGAUCGUAAAACUCUGUUGUUAGGGAGGCGGUAUCUAACCAGAAAGCCACGGCUAACUACGUGCCAGCAGCCGCGGUAAUUC
rnacentral:rRNA from 1 species